rnacentral:rRNA from 1 species
AACGAACGCUGGCGGCAUGCCUAACACAUGCAACUCGAACGAAUGCUUCGGCCUUAGUGGCGCACGGGUGCGUAACGCGUGGGAAUCUGCCCUUGGGUACGGAAUAACUCACCGAAAGGUAUGCUAAUACCGUCUGAUGACGUAAGUCCAAAGAUUCAUCGCCAGAGGAUGAGCCCGCGUAGGAUUAGCUAGUUGGUGAGGUAAAGGCUCACCAAGGCGACGAUCCUUAGCUGGUCUGAGAGGAUGAUCAGCCACACUGGGACUGAGACACGGCCCAGACUCCUACGGGAGGCAGCAGUGGGGAAUAUUGGACAAUGGGCGAAAGCCUGAUCCAGCAAUGCCGCGUGAGUGAUGAAGGCCUUCGGGUUGUAAAGCUCUUUUACCCGGGAAGAUAAUGACUGUACCGGGAGAAUAAGCCCCGGCUAACUCCGUGCCAGCAGCCGCGGUAA